rnacentral:rRNA from 1 species
AGUUGUAAUCUAGAGAGGCGUUUUCCACGCUGGUCCACGUAUAAGUCUCCUGGAACGGAGUGUCAUAGAGGGUGAGAAUCCCGUCCUUUACGUGGGCUACCAGUGUUUCUGUGAUACGCUUUCUAAGAGUCGAGUUGUUUGGGAAUGCAGCUCAAAAUGGGUGGUAAAUUCCAUCUAAAGCUAAAUAUUGGCCUGAGACCGAUAGCGAACAAGUACCGUGAGGGAAAGAUGAAAAGCACUUUGAAAAGAGAGUCAAACAGUACGUGAAAUUGUUGAAAGGGAAACGCUUGAGGUCAGUCGCGCCUUUUGAGACUCAGCCUUCCUUUUGGUUGGUGUAUUUCUCAAGAGGCGGGUCAACAUCAGUUUCGACCGGUGGAUAAAGGCGGGAGGAAUGUGGCUUCUUCGGAAGUGUUAUAGCCUCCCGUUGCAUACAUCGGUUGGGACUGAGGAACGCAGCACGCCGCAAGGCAGCCCCUCGGGGACUUUCGUGCUUAGGAUGUUGACAUAAUGGCCUUAAGCGACCCGUCUUGAAACACGGACCAAGGAGUCUAACAUAUCUGCGAGUAUUUGGGUGGCAAACCCGAGUGCGCAAUGAAAGUGAAUGCAGGUGGGAAGCGCAAGCUGCACCAUCGACCGGUCUGGAUUUUUAAUGAUGGAUCUGAGUAAGAGCAUAUAUGUUGGGACCCGAAAG